AUUGAACGCUGGCGGCAGGCUUAACACAUGCAAGUCGAACGGUUGAGAUGUGCUUGCACAUUGAGAUAGUGGCGAACGGGCGAGUAAUGCCUAGGAAUCUGCCAUUUAGUGGGGGAUAACGUUCCGAAAGGAACGCUAAUACCGCAUACGCCCUACGGGGGAAAGGGGGGGAUCUUCGGACCUCUUGCUAAAUGAUGAGCCGAGGUCGGAUUAGCUAGUUGGUGGGGUAAAGGCCUACCAAGGCGACGAUCUGUAGCGGGUCUGAGAGGAUGAUCCGCCACGCUGGAACUGAGACACGGUCCAGACUCCUACGGGAGGCAGCAGUGGGGAAUAUUGGACAAUGGGGGCAACCCUGAUCCAGCCAUGCCGCGUGUGUGAAGAAGGCCUUUUGGUUGUAAAGCACUUUAAGCGAGGAGGAGGCUUUGUUUGUUAAUACCUUACAAAGUGGACGUUACUCGCAGAAUAAGCACCGGCUAACUCUGUGCCAGCCGCCGCCGUAA
rnacentral:rRNA from 1 species